rnacentral:misc_RNA from 1 species
AAUGUAUUUCUUUAUGGCUACAAAUCGCACCUUUAAUAAAACAAAGAUGUAACUCAAAAUUUGUGGAUUUGGAGAUUUUACAAUAAAACGCGUCUUCGUCGCGUAAAGAAUAGGUAGACUUCGACUCCAGCGUUUUAACUAUAAGAUCCAGAGAGAUACGCGAUUGUUGCUCUCUUUUCUAUCAACUGGAACUGACAAGUCAGUUCUUAUAAAGUGGCGUGAUUCAGAGAUGCACCGGCAGUGAGCGGAGAUUGAAAUGCUGUCGUUUUCAGUAAAAUCAAAUAAUUCGGUAUUAGAUUAAAAGACUAAAGAAGUUAUGUAGAUUGAAGAGGAAAAUCAACAAAAUACAUAUAUCUCCAGAGCUCAAAAAUGUAACUGAAGAGCUGACGAAAAUGAUGACACCGACUCAAUAUUUUACUGUCACUUAUGAGUUGACGAGAAAAAUGACACCUAAAUAAUACUAGCCAUUUACAGUCCUCUAAUUCGUCUUCAAGAUCAUCUUCAUCUAGUUCCGAUUCAUCUAGCUCAUCAUCGUCAAGCUCUUCUAGCUCAUCUUCAUCCAGUUUUUCAAGCUCCAAUAGUUCAAUGCCUACCCAAAACCCUGCCCCACAAAACGUUACAACGGAUUGUGAAGAAAAGACGUCUUACACCAAUUCACCACAAAAUACUAAGAGGCAGCAAAUUCAGCUGAGACAGCGACGAUAUUACAAUAGUGUGGCCAGUUACAAUAUUUCUCCAGUAUACACAGAUCUAAGUGACGUCGACCUGAGUGCCGACGAUCCACUGUAGAUUUUAAUACAUUGUUUAAUAAGCCUGUCAACAGAAGAAAUUUUAUGUUUGAAAAUCAAAGUUCUUCUAACUCUGACUGCAAUAAUAAACCAAAUAUUUAUCAGUCAGUUCAGCCUAUUGCAAUGCACUGCUGGACAUAGGCCUCCCCAAGUUCGCGCUAGACAUCCCGGUUUUCCGCAAUCCUCAACCAGCUUACACCGGCAAUCUUACGUAGAUCGUCGGUCCAACGGGCCAGAGGACGUCACACACUGUGUUU